UACGUAGGGGGCAAGCGUUGUCCGGAUUUAUUGGGCGUAAAGAGCGUGUAGGCGGCCUGAAAGGUCAGCUGUGAAAACUCGAGGCUCAACCUCGAGACGGCGGUUGAAACCAUCUGGCUAGAGUCCGGAAGAGGAGUGUGGAAUUCCCGGUGUAGCGGUGAAAUGCGCAGAUAUCGGAAGGAACACCGAUGGCGAAAGCAGCGUGCUGGACCUUUUCUGACGCUGAGGCGCGAAAGCCAGGGGAGCAAACGGG
rnacentral:rRNA from 1 species